UACGGAGAGGGCAAGCGUUGUUCGGAUUUAUUGGGCGUAAAGCGCGUGUAGGCGGCGCGGUAAGUCGGAUGUUAAAGACCCACGGCUCAACCGGGGGAAUGCGUCCGAUACUGCCGUGCUUGAGUGCGGGAGAGGAAAGUGGAAUUCCAGGUGUAGCGGUGAAAUGCGUAGAUAUCUGGAGGAACACCGGUGGCGAAGGCGGCUUUCUGGCCCGCAACUGACGCUGAGACGCGAAAGCGUGGGGAGCGAACGGG
rnacentral:rRNA from 1 species